rnacentral:misc_RNA from 1 species
GAUGAAGAACGUAGUGAAAUGCGAUAAUUAAUGUGAAUUGCAGAAUUCCGUGAAUCAUCGAGUCUUUGAACGCACAUUGCGCCUCAUGGCAUUCCGUGAGGCAUGCCCAUCUCAGCGUUAGAAAAUAUUCUCAAAUUUUAGUUUUGUGCUAAAAUUUGGAUCAUGUCAAGGAAGCUAUUACUAUUAUUGUGAUUGCUCUUUGGAAAUUGAUAGGUCUUUGAGUUGCUACUCAUAGAACGUGAUGAAUCUUUCUUCGUUCUAUUGUAAUUCACUCUGGUAGUCCUAAAAGUUGUAUGCCUGUGGCAUAUCUUGUAAUUUGACCUGAGAUUGGGUAGGGAUACCCGCUGAACUUAAGCAUAUCAAUAAGCGGAGGA